UAUAGUAUAAUAGAGUAUAAGCAUAUACUUAGUUUCUUUUUUAUUUUCUUACAUAAAAACAUUCUUGCUAGCGUCUAAUAGGACUCUUGGUUUUUUAUAAAGAUAUUUGUUCCUCUAGUAGAUUAACAUCAUCAGCGUAGACCGGAAACUCUUGUGCCUCAAUCGAAUUGAAUCUUCUCUUUUUCCUUGAACUUCGUAAUGGCUAAUUCCAAAGCAAAGUGAAAUAAAUAGGCAUGAAUCUUAGUAUUCUUUGAUGCUGACACUUCUGCACUGAAAGAUCGGAAAUGAAAAAAAGAAAAAGAUUAUUAUAUUAUAUUAAAAACCUUUACCAAAUGUAAUUGCGAAAUUUCAUUUAUAAUAUUUUUGUGAAAACACAUGCCCUACCGAAACUGAUAGAAAUCAAAGGUUAUGUUAGGUAACGGCACGCAACAAUAGGAAAACGGUGUUAUGAAAUCCAUUUCCUAGCACAGAAUCGGUGAAUACCCCCACAGUAGAGGUAUUGUUGAAAAAGGCGUUUUGCAUUCGGUCCGUGCCAAGUAGUUAAUAAAAAAGAGUUAGUUGAGAAUCGGCAGUUGAGUUCGCAGUUCCAAGUGAGCAACUAUUUUAGAGGAAACAACUAUGUUGAGUCUUAAUUGCUGCUUUUCAGGUUAAUGCAAGAUGGAAAGCAUACGUCUAAUAUUUCACAUCACGUACUGUACAGUGUGGUGAGCUGAAUAAGUCAUCUUUAUGAAUUGUCAUUGAUGUUCUUAUCACUCAUUAUUUGCAGGGAACAUCUGUGUUAAUGAGUCUUCAUUGCCGCUACACAGGGUAAAAUAUAUAUGAAAAAAAGCAUUAGGAAAUUUCUGAUUCAGAGGCAACACCAGUGUUGAUGAACCCGCAAUUUUCCCACUCAGGGUAAUACAGUCCUCGAAAAAUGAAUCCAGCGAUUUCAUGUCAGGGAACAUCAGUGUUGAUGACCCUUCAUUUCUCCCACUCAGGUUAACACAUUAUUGGAAGCAUGAAUUUGGAGAUUUUGCAUCAGGUAAUGCACAAUGUUGUAUGUAGAACAAGCAAUUGUAAGCUGUCAUUAUGAUUGAUGUGACUUUAUAUUCUUACAGGGAACAUCAAUGUUGAUGAGACUUCAUUUCUCCCAGUCAGGUUAACACAUUGUUGGAGAUUUUGCAUCAGGUAAUGCACAAUGUUGUAUGUGGAACAAGCAAUUGUAAGCUGUCAUUAUGAUUGAUGUGACUUUAUAUUCUUACAGGGAACAUCAGUGUUGAUGAGCCUUCAUUCCUUCCAUUCAAGUCAACACAUUGUUGCAACAUGAGCAUGGCAGACCGUCCAGUGGCCCUUGUGAAGAAAGGUUAAAUGGGAGCAUCAGUUCAGUGAGAUGAAGGAAAGAGGGCAGUGGCCAGUGUGAUGUGUAAAGGAAAGAAACUGUGGAAGGAGACGCUGGCUUUGUGCAAGUCUUGCAGCAGGAAGCAAUUCAUGCAUGCAGACAAAUGCUCAGAAUUGUACCACACCCGUGGAGAUAACCAUGUUCCUCCAAAAGCUACAUACCUACCUACAUGAGUAGACAGUGUCACAGCCCAGAAGACUUCAUGGGCUGGUGUGUGUCAUUCCUUUGGGUCUGGAAGGAACAUCAUGAUGCUGAUGGAUUAUUUGGUGGUAAAUUUGUAACAGCAUAUUCUUUGAAACGUUUAAAAAUGUCAGGGUUUCAAACCCAGCUCCUGACCUAAUUGAGUAACUGUGCAAAUGAGUAUUAUGCUGUGUGGAGAUUGAUAAUAUCUUAAAUAUAAUAGUGACACCAUAUAACAUUAACAUAUAUUAGCUUUUACCAAGUAAUUUUACUGUUUGUUGUAGACUGUUGUGAGAUGGUGCAGUGCCGUAUCUUGUUUUAAAUUAACUGUCUCUUCACAUCCAUGAGGGGCUCUAGUGACUGGUGGUCUUCCAUGUUCAUUGGGCAUAUGCACAGGAAGAUCUUGCAGAGUUAAUAGAAACUUAAGGGGGAAGAUGACUGUUUUUUAGGAGGCAUAUAAAGAGAUGAUCCAAGACCUGAGAGGGAACAAUGUGCAGGGAACUGAAAUACAGUGAAACCCUCAUCAGUGCUCUUUGAUGCGAGAUUAACUUCAGGUAACAUUCGAGUUUGGUGACGUGUCAGUAACCUCAUUGUUAAAUUACACUUGCGCAAGAAUCCACUUCUUGGCAAAGAGACCUUGAAUAAGAGAUUUCACUGUAUGCAAACCUGCAUCUGUAUGCCAUUGUAACCAUCACCAAUCACAAAAACAUGCCUCCCUGUUGACAGUCAUAUGUCACGGGAAGUCUGGAUGAGGAUUUCCAGCACUGUAAGAAGUGCAGCAGUUGUGUAAGAGGUUCAUCUGCCAGCGCUACAGGCGGUGCGAUGGGUAAACUACCGCAUCGUUCUCUGCCACAAGAUACCAGUCUUGCAACUAGUCUUAGAAAUGUAUAUCUGAUAAAUAUAGAUUAAUAUCCCUUUAGGUAUCAUUAUUAUGAUGCUUGAAGAGUGAGUUGGUCUAAAUGAAUGACCUGUGUUUGAAUUAUAUGUAAGAAAUUUAGAUUUAUUUUGUCCAAAAGAAAAAUUGGUACAGAAGUCAGGGUGGGGGGGUUUCAUUUAGAGGACAAAGGAAGAAACCGAUUUCAGCCUAGUGCAAUAUGUGAGUAUUGAGGGCAGAAGUAUAUGCCAUUAACCCUGUGUGAACCAAGUUUUUGGACAGCUUGAGACAAAAAUACGACUUAAAUGACGUAUAUGUACACCUGUAACUUAACCUAGCUAACUUAUAACUGAAUGUACUCUAACUUAAUGUAACCUCCCUAAUCUAACUUCUAACAGAAACUAUCAAAACUAACCUGAGCUAACAUGUCGAGGAACAUACAUGUACGUCCAUAGAACAGAAAGGGUCAAGGUGUGUAUACUUACUGCCAUAAGCUUUAUGAAUUUAGCUUAUUGGUUUAUAUGAGGUUCACUCUGCACUAUACCUCACCAUCCAUAGGAGUAACAUAGUGAGCAUUUCUUUUGCUAGAGUCAAGGCAUUUGUAAUGUUAUAGAAGUGGUCCCAUUUUAGGAGAACAGAUUGGAUAUAGACCUGACAUGUUGAAAAUGAUGUCUUGGCACCAAUUAUGUGGCUGUAUGGAUACUGAUAAGGGCAUCUUAUGGUGAUUAUUACUGUGGUGAAGGAGGGGUUGUAUGCUUUGAGGUUACGAUAUGUUAAGUGUAAUGCCAAAACUUGUACGUGAGAUUGUAUUGCUUAUUUUGAUGUAUGUGCCGCUGGCUGGCUGGCUAGCGUUGUUUGAUAGGUCUUGCAGAGUGCUAUGUACUUGUAUGUGGAUUCUAAUGUUGUUAUUGCUGUUUGGAAAAUAUUUCAACAUACCUGUAGACAGAAAUAUGUUUGUCACUAAAUGACAUAAUGGGACAUUCUCAAAAUCAUUGUCAAUUUGUCAGUUAUGAAAAGAAUGUCCCGCAUAUUAGAUAUUGAAUUGAUUUGUGUUAAGGCCAGAAGAGUUCACUGAUUGACUGUUGUUAUAAUUGCAUGAAUUUCUGUUCUACUUGCUGCCUCAGUGGCAGAGCAUAUGGAUUGUGUAUGUUACCAGUUUCUGUUAAUGUUGAUAGUAUCAUGUAAGAUUUAUUGUAAUGGUGUGAACGCAGUUUCUGAGGACAUGAGCUAUCAGAGUAUUUUCCAUCAAGAUAUGUAUAUUUUUUAUAAUGGUGUAUUGCUAUGUCUCUGUUCUAUUCGAACACAAUUGUGAAUAUGAUCACCAGCAGUCAACAGAGUUUUGUGAGUGCUGGGGUAUUUGGAAAUAUGCAGUAAAUCAGAUGUCUGCAUAUUGUGGAUGGAAGGACAUCUCUACCACCAUCUUGACUGCAUCAGGUGAUAGUGGUGGGUGUGGUGAUGGAGGUGGCGGAAGUCAUGGUGGAGGGAAUGAUGGUGAAGAUGGUGGUGGUGGUGAUCGCCAGUGAAUGUUGACAAGUGGAAAGGUUUGCACAGUGAGGAUGUAGAUCACUGGACAGACUAUAUUGCACUCACAUCUCUGUAUACUGCAACAUUUUUACAGCUGUAAUUGAAGGAUGUCUAGAGGCAGUAGUAUGAAGAUGUAAUUGAAUUAAUCUGUUUGGUAAAAGAAAAGAAGUGUUACUUUUCAGCAUGCCAUCCUUUUGAAGGCCUGGUUAGUUUUCAGGAAUGUUGCCAUGUUGUAUGCGAGGUUCUUGAUCUGUGUGGAUCUUGAACUGAGGUCUGGAAGGCUUGUGUAGAAGCAUUCUGUUUGAAUGUUUGAUGACAGUAAUGUAUUGUAUUGAAUCGUGACAUGUAUAAAGUGCUGGAUUAAUUUGUUUGUGCAGUGUUUGUAAGCAAUACUAGAGCCUUCUCUUUGAA